GUUUGCGAUCAUUUAUUCCCAACCCCGACCAUUUAUUCCGCGUGCCAAUAUUUAGGGCAAGAAAGAGAUCAGAAGGAGAGAGACAUUGAUGGGUGCAGCGCCCGAGUGCGAUGGCCCCAUGAACGGAGCCUGACGGCGGCACCGGAGGAGAAGGGGCUCCACGUGCUCAAUGGCGGAGGAGACCCAAACAGGUGGCCCCCAGGAUUCGGAUUCAUCCCACUAAUGAGGAGCUGAUUCUUUAUUAUCUUAAGAACAGGAUCUGCGGUCGCCGGAUCAAGCUCCGGAUGAUUGACGACGUUGAUGUCUACAAGUGGGACCCUUUGGAACUUCCAGAUAUGGUCAUAUCGCUUCUAAUGUUGCUGAAUCUUUCAAUAGUUGGAUUCGUGUGGAGAGAACACUAGUGUUUGUGAUAUGAUAGAUCACAUUCGUAUACAAAUUAUGGAAAAGAUAAAAACUCAUCACGAGAUGGUAACAAAAUGGAAUACCUAUCUAUGUUAUGAAGCGGAAAAAAUUCUCCAAGAAAAAUGCAUGAAGGGAAACACUCUUGAAGUCUCGUAUUCUACAGCUGAAAUCUUUAAGGUGUCAUCUCAAAAAUCAGUACAAAUUGAUUUGGAACACAUAACAUGCACAUGUCGUGCAUGGGAUAUAUUGCAAAUACCAUGUAAACAUGUGUGUACUGCUAUUAACUUUAUGCAUAGAGACAUGUACUAGUAUUGCGAUUGGUUCAUGGCAACUGAAGCUUUCAAGAAAAGUUAUGAACCAAUCUCUUUCCUAUUCCAAGUUACGAUAAGCCAGAUAUCACAGAUGAAACAGUUGGCAUAGUUCCCCCAAAGACGACAAAGAAACAUGAAAAAAAAGAAUAAACAUAUCAACAUCUGAUCUGAGAAUAGACGUCCAAUUAAAUGCUCAAGGUGUCAUGCUGAAGGACAUAACCGAGCAACAUGCACUGAACCUAUCGAAGACUAAUGUUUCCUGGCAGAAUUUAAACUCUUUUAGGAUUGUUGUCUGUUAUAUGUUACUUUUAUCAUUUUAUUAUGAUAUUUAGUAGUUAAAUGUUACAUAUUACA